rnacentral:rRNA from 1 species
GAUGAACGCUGGCGGCGUGCCUAAUACAUGCAAGUCGAGCGAAUGGAUUAAGAGCUUGCUCUUAUGAAGUUAGCGGCGGACGGGUGAGUAACACGUGGGUAACCUGCCCAUAAGACUGGGAUAACUCCGGGAAACCGGGGCUAAUACCGGAUAACAUUUUGAACCGCAUGGUUCGAAAUUGAAAGGCGGCUUCGGCUGUCACUUAUGGAUGGACCCGCGUCGCAUUAGCUAGUUGGUGAGGUAACGGCUCACCAAGGCAACGAUGCGUAGCCGACCGAGGAGGGUGAUCGGCCACGCUGGGACUGAGACACGGCCAAGACUCCUACGGGGGGCAGCAGUAGGGGAUCUUCCGCAAUGGACGAAAGUCUGACGGAGCAACGCCGCGUGAGUGAUGAAGGCUUUCGGGUCGUAAAACUCUGUUGUUAGGGAAGAACAAGUGCUAGUUGAAUAAGCUGGCACCUUGACGGUACCUAACCAGAAAGCCACGGCUAACUACGUGCCAGCCGCCGCCGUAA